rnacentral:tRNA from 1 species
UAAUAAAUUUAAAUAUUAAUAAUCAAUUUCGACUUGAUUAAUGAUAAAAAAUUAUCUAUUUA